GAUCAUUUCGUGGAAAAUACAAGCCGGGGGUCCGUAGAAUGGAAAUUUGACAAGGUUGGGAAUCUGUGAUCACGAUGAACGAGAUGGAGCUUGUGGUUGGAUCGGAAGGUUUUCUGGCCUCAGGAACUUUGGCCAAGGCAGUUUCCUGGGUUGGUAAUGGUGCCUGUCUCCUCCAGGGCCACUCAACACAUCCAAUACUGUGACACAGGUAGGCUAGCCUCCUUCUCCUCUUUCCACCCUGUCUUUAGGAUCAUCUCCAGACAUCGAAGGGCAUCAUUAUCACGGAUAAGAACACAGAUGCUGGGGCUGGAGAGAUGGCGCAGAGGUUAAGAGCUGGCACUAAUCUUUCAGAGGACUGGAGUUUGGUUCCCAUCCCCAUGUUGGGCAGAUCAUGACGACCUGUGACUACAGCUUCAGAGGGCCUAGAACCUUCUUCUGGAGACCCUGCAUGCUCUGCCUUCAUGUGCUCCUUCCCCUAAGACACAGACGCCUUCCUAACCGUCUCUGGUGACAACAGGACAGGAACAUCACAGCUGUUUAUGUGCUAUGAUUUCCUAUGUGUGCACACAGGAAUAAGACUCUCUUGCCUUGCCCACAAACCACUCUUCACUCUUGGGAUGACCUUGCUCCAGCUGGGAUCAGAAGUUCUAGAGCAUUCUGGAAGACAAAAUGGGUAGCAAGUACAGAAGAGAGCUCCCAACUUCAUCACCACCGGGAAAAUGCAAAAUGCAACCAUGAGAUGCCACCUCUCAAACAUAAGGAUGACGAAAUGCAGAAGUCAAGUGGGUGAAGCCGUGCCCUCUUACAGAACUAGAUAAAGACAUUGUGAACACCCGGCGCGGGGGCUUCGUAGAAAGCUAAAAGUAGGGUUGCCGUAUGAUCCAGCAAGCUCACUUCUGGAUAGAGCAAAGGAAGUGAAGUCACAGACAACCGCUUUAUGCUUAUAUGUUGCAGUGUUAUAAUUGGUAGCAAUUUGCCUGAGAUGUGCCAACUGAUCCAGAUGAAGAAAUCAGGCUACACACGUACAAUAGAAGGGAAUGUGCUUCAGCCUUGGAAGAGGCAGUCCUGACGUCUAUGAGUGAACAUGGAAGACAAAUGUGCCCCUCAGGGAAAGCGACACAUACAAGUUUGUCUAGAGAACUAGAAUAUUCUUUCUUGUGGAAAGAAAGGCCAUUUCCCACGAGAGCUGAUGACCAGGAUGCGAAAUGACAUCUGGUGACCGCGCAGCUGCGGAUUGUCGAAUCCAAAGCAAUAAAAGGAUCUAGAAAUGUGAGCCAGUACUCUUUAAAAUAAAAAUAAAAAUAAAACC
ensembl:processed_transcript 1810053B23Rik RIKEN cDNA 1810053B23 gene